UCGUACACCUCCCUCCAGUGGGGAAGCAGAACAUGGGAUUCUGAAGACUUCUAAUUCUCCUGAAAUCAAGUGUAGCUUCUUUCGCUUCUUCGAUUGGGUUUUCUUCGGCGGCAUCUUCGUCUUUCUUGAGUUCUGGAUUUCAACGAUUCCGAUUUUAAGAAAUCUGGUCCUCUCAAACCUAAUGGACGAGGUAUGACCCCCAAAUCCCAACCGUUUUUCAUUGAACGCUGGAAUUUGCAGAAGGAAAGUCAAGAAGAAGAAUGAUCAUCGAGUGAGAUAUGAAGGAAAGUUAUUGGAAACGAAGCGAAGAAGAUUGAGGCCCAGAAUGCAGUUGAGUCGAAGAACUAGAAUGCAGAUUUCUAGUCGUCAAGUGGGAAGAGCAGGUUUGUGAAGAUGCUCAUGAUAAUGCAGUCAGGAACAGCAAUGGAUAAGGUGUCUGUAUUUUCAGUGUUAGUGAGGGAGAAACCGAUUGCAAAUAUGAGAUCGUUCGAUGCACUCCCGGGUUGCCCUUCAGCCAGCCCCCUCGGUAUGCAUGUGGAUGCCUCUUUCUUCCAUCUGAAGCAUGAUUGUAGGAGUCAGAAUUUUAUCGACUAUAUCAUCCAAUUUGUAUCGCUGAUACUUAUCGGUAUUGACAGCGACUGAUUCCAUCACCAAUAUGGUGAACUAAAUCCGUGAUCUAAGGAAUAUGGUGCUUCAAAACGAGUCAAGUUGAUGAAGAUCUUUAACACUUCGAUGAUAAAAUAGAAAAAAAAUACUGAAAAUGAAAUGGGCGUCGUCUCCAGUGAAGCAACAACUUUUGAAAACUGGGUGACGAUUCAUCUUCUGAUUUACGAGUUGAGGAUUUUCUUGCUUCCUACUGUGAAGAAGAUGGGUCAGAUGGAGUAUAGGAUCUUGGGGGAGAUUCCUGUCGUUAAUGACCCCAUAUCAGCAUAUCAGCAUAUCAGCAUUCCAGCAUUCCAGAUGUGGUGGGUUAGGGAAAAAGUGAAAAACAUUGUCUCAGACUCUACCCGCGGGGUUGCCGCCUCUAGAGGCACUUCUUACUAGGGUAUAUUUUUGGUCUUGACGGUUGGAAUCUGCCCUGACCUGUCUUAACUCUGAACCCUGUUUGACUUUGUUAUGAGGGUCAAUCCGGCCCAGCCUGACCCAACCUUCACCAGGGUUGGUCUGGGCCUAGAUUGAGACUUAGGCCCAGUCUGGCCUGACCUAACCCAGCACGAUUUUAACCUGAUUUAUUGUUGUGUUUAGUAAUAGUGUCCUCCUUCCUUAGGCCCACAUCAUGUGUUACACAAGCCUUCAAUAAGUUGUCUGUAUGACUUUAAUCUACAUCAUGCGUUACACAAGCCACAUACUCUUAAGUCUUAUCUAUUGAAUUAAGAUGACCAAAUGGUCAAAUAAU